GCCUCCAUAGCUCAAUGGAUAGAGCACCGGCCUUCUAAGCCGUAGGUUGUGGGUUCGAGUCCCGCUGGAGGCG
rnacentral:tRNA from 1 species